GCCCGGUUAGCUCAGUCGGUAGAGCACCAGACUCUUAAUCUGGCU
rnacentral:tRNA from 1 species